AAGACGUCUGAUUCCCUAGAGGUACAAGAUAGUAAAGAUGAGGCCGCCCUCUCUGGAAUUGGAUCAGAACAUCAAAGAAAGAAGUUCUAUUACUAACAGAGUGAUAGAACAAAGGCCCUCAGAAAGAUCUGUCCACAUGAAGUUGCUUGUCAGCUAAGAUGGGCAGACAGGGCCACCAUUCACAAGUGACAACGAACUGAAUGCUGGAUUUUUGCUAUCACAACAGCCAUGUAACUGUGAAGACAUUCAUGGGUAAAGAUAAAAUGGUGUGACAUCAGCCUGCUUCUGAAUAAAAUCUUGGUCUGCUA
rnacentral:lncRNA from 1 species